AGAGCGAACGCUGGCGGCAGGCCUAAUACAUGCAAGUCGAACGGACCCUUCGGGGUUAGUGGCGGACGGGUGAGUAACACGUGGGAACGUGCCCUUUGGUUCGGAACAACUCAGGGAAACUUGGGCUAAUACCGAAUGUGCCCCCUCCUUUGAUUAGGGGGGUGGGAAAGAUUUAUCGCCAUUGGAGCGGCCCGCGUCUGAUUAGCUAGUUGGUGGGGUAAAGGCCCACCAAGGCUACGAUCAGUAGCUGGUCUGAGAGGAUGAUCAGCCACACUGGGACUGAGACACGGCCCAGACUCCUACGGGAGGCAGCAGUAGGGAAUCUUGCGCAAUGGGCGAAAGCCUGACGCAGCCAUGCCGCGUGAAUGAUGAAGGUCUUAGGAUUGUAAAAUUCUUUCAGCGGGACGAUAAUGACGGUACCCGCAGAAGAACGCCCGGCUAACUUCGUGCCAGCAGCCGC
rnacentral:rRNA from 1 species